UACGGAGGAUGCGAGCGUUAUCCGGAUUUAUUGGGUUUAAAGGGUGCGUAGGCGGACUGUCAAGUCAGCGGUAAAAUUGAGAGGCUCAACCUCUUCCCGCCGUUGAAACUGGUGGUCUUGAGUGGAUGAGAAGUACGCGGAAUGCGUGGUGUAGCGGUGAAAUGCAUAGAUAUCACGCAGAACUCCGAUUGCGAAGGCAGCGUACCGGCAUCCAAUUGACGCUGAGGCACGAAAGCGUGGGGAUCAAACAGG
rnacentral:rRNA from 1 species